rnacentral:rRNA from 1 species
AGUGAACGCUGGCGGUAGGCCUAACACAUGCAAGUCGAACGGCAGCACAGUAAGAGCUUGCUCUUACGGGUGGCGAGUGGCGGACGGGUGAGGAAUACAUCGGAAUCUACUUUUUCGUGGGGGAUAACGUAGGGAAACUUACGCUAAUACCGCAUACGACCUACGGGUGAAAGCAGUGGAUCUUCGGACCUUGCUCGAUUGAAUGAGCCGAUGUCGGAUUAGCUAGUUGGCGGGGUAAAGGCCCACCAAGGCGACGAUCCGUAGCUGGUCUGAGAGGAUGAUCAGCCACACUGGAACUGAGACACGGUCCAGACUCCUACGGGAGGCAGCAGUGGGGAAUAUUGGACAAUGGGCGCAAGCCUGAUCCAGCCAUACCGCGUGGGUGAAGAAGGCCUUCGGGUUGUAAAGCCCUUUUGUUGGGAAAGAAAAGCAGCAGGUUAAUACCCCGCUGUUCUGACGGUACCCAAAGAAUAAGCACCGGCUAACUUCGUG